UUUGAGGGUUACCCUUCCUUUCAGGUGUGCAGCCUCCCCCUCCCCGUUGUGAUCAGUUUGGAUAGCGCUGUUCCAUCCCUCUUAUUUUUUUCUUGAUUAUUAAGCUUCAACAUUUUAUGCAUGAAAACGUGGAUUUCCAAACUUGUACCCGGGCUUCAAUCCUCCCUAGUACUCCAGUGUCAUACUCCCAGCUUCUGCAGAGACACAAAAGCCUCAGCCAACCCAAUUCAUUCCAGUUUCCAGUCUAGAUAACACAAGUGUCUCUUCCUAAAUAACCUAAAGGAAUCCUGGCUCAUCAUGUCUUUUAUGCAAGCUUUCCUCGCACAAGUCAACUUCACUGAACAAGGAGGACAUCCACCAUGUACCGCCCAG